AGUGAACGCUGGCGGUAGGCCUAACACAUGCAAGUCGAACGGCAGCACAGUAAGAGCUUGCUCUUACGGGUGGCGAGUGGCGGACGGGUGAGGAAUACAUCGGAAUCUACUUUUUCGUGGGGGAUAACGUAGGGAAACUUACGCUAAUACCGCAUACGACCUACGGGUGACAGCAGGGGAUCUUCGGACCUUGCGCGAUUGAAUGAGCCGAUGUCGGAUUAGCUAGUUGGCGGGGUAAAGGCCCACCAAGGCGACGAUCCGUAGCUGGUCUGAGAGGAUGAUCAGCCACACUGGAACUGAGACACGGUCCAGACUACUACGGGAGGCAGCAGUGGGGAAUAUUGGACAAUGGGCGGAAGCCUGAUCCAGCCAUACCGCGUGGGGGAAGAAGGCCUUCGGGUUGUAAAGCCCUUUUGUUGGGAAAGAAAAGCAGCAGGUUAAUACCCCGCUGUUCUGACGGUACCCAAAGAAUAAGCACCGGCUAACUUCGUG
rnacentral:rRNA from 1 species